AGAGUUUGAUCAUGGCUCAGGACGAACGCUGGCGGCGUGCUUAACACAUGCAAGUGGUGCGACGAACCAGGGCUUGCCCUGGGGCAAAGCCGCGAACGGGUGAGUAACACGUGAGUAACCUGCCCCGAUGACCGGGACAACCCGAGGAAACUCGGGCUAAUACCGGAUGUGGCGCACAGAUAUAAGCCUGUGCGCUAAAGGAAGCUUCGGCCUCCGCAUUGGGAGGGGCUCGCGGCCCAUUAGCUUGUUGGUGGGGUAACGGCCUACCAAGGCAACGAUGGGUAGCUGGUCUGAGAGGACGAUCAGCCACACUGGGACUGAGACACGGCCCAGACUCCUACGGGAGGCAGCAGUGGGGAAUCUUGCGCAAUGCGCGAAAGCGUGACGCAGCAACGCCGCGUGGGGGAAGACGGCCUUCGGGUUGUAAACCCCUUUCAGGAGGGACGAAGGUUCACCGGUGAAUAGCCGUGUGGAUUGACGGUACCUCCAGAAGAAGCUCCGGCUAACUACGUGCCAGCAGCCGCGGUAAUACGUAGGGAGCAAGCGUUGUCCGGAAUCAUUGGGCGUAAAGCGCGCGUAGGCGGCCCUGUAAGUCCGUUGUGAAAGUCAAAGGCUCAACCUUUGAAAGCCGAUGGAUACUGCAGGGCUAGAGUCCGGAAGAGGCGAGUGGAAUUCCUGGUGUAGCGGUGGAAUGCGCAGAUAUCAGGAGGAACACCAAUAGCGAAGGCAGCUCGCUGGGACGGUACUGACGCUAAGGCGCGAAAGCGUGGGGAGCGAACAGGAUUAGAUACCCUAGUAGUCC
rnacentral:rRNA from 1 species